rnacentral:lncRNA from 1 species
UUUGGAAUGUGUUAAGAGGGUCGGUCCAGCUUUAAGAACUAUGGUAAAUUUUUAGCACACCAUUUUCUUUGCUCUGUCUGAAAAUCAAAAGUAUCCAAUAUGAGACUUGCAAUGAAGAAGGGGGAUGCUUUGAACCUGUAUUAGGGUAUUAUGGGUGAGAAUUUAGAACUGAAUAGCAGCAAUGGAUACAGAACAGAGCACACAUCCAGGAGGAUUGCUUACUGAUCUAAAGGAUAAAGACUUUGCUGACCCACUCCCUGUGCAACUGUUAGAGAAAGACAUAAGUUCUGGUUUGCAAACGGAUUUAAAAGGCACUGGCCCAUGGGUAAUCCUGAUGGAGCACAUUUGUUUUCUGUGCAGAUCCUCUCACCUGUAUAGUUACUAAGCUGGGUACCACUGCCACACGACCACACAUCUGUCUCAGGGUAGGACAGCCUGACCUUCUCCAGAUGCAGUGCUGUUAUCACAGGAGACAGAAUAACAAGGACGGUAUGUGUCUGAAGGGGAAGGGUAUGCAUCCUGAACAUGAAGCAUAAAGAGUUUGGAGAGUUUUAUCACUUGAAAGAAGAGAACAGAAUCAAUUCCUAAAUAAGGCAAUAAAG